rfam:Ictidomys tridecemlineatus contig071123, whole genome shotgun sequence.
GGAGUCUGUCUCAGUGGUAGAGAGCUUUUCUAGCAUACAUGAGGUCCUGGGUUCAAACCCCAGCUCCA